UGAGCUGGCUGGGCGGCCGCGUUCCUCACGACGUGAAGUCGUGGGGGCCGAGGAACGUCCGGGCUCCGUAGGGCAGGGUGGUGGGUAACUCCCACCCGGGGUGACUCGCGGGAAAGUGCCACAGAAAACAGACCGCCACGGUCGUCCUUCGCGGACGAGCGCGGUAAGGGUGAAAAGGUGGUGUAAGAGACCACCAGCGUGCCGGGUGACCGGUGCGGCUAGGUAAACCCCACCCGGAGCAAGGUCAGACAGGAAGCGCUCGAGGGCUGCCCGCCCGAGCUUCCGGGUAGACCGCUGGAGGCGUGCGGCAACGUACGUCGUAGAUGGAUGGUCGCCACCCGCGCGGGGGUAACCGCGCGCGGGGACAGAACCCGGCGUACAGGCCAGCUCAUCCG
rnacentral:RNase_P_RNA from 1 species